ACAGUGAAGUAAGGAAGAGAGUUCAAAAUGCAGCAGAGUAACGCCCACCUUUGGCUCCAGAUUGUCCCAGCCUCCCACAGGACAGGGAAGGGAACUGGCUGUAGUGGAGCCAGUCCAGGGGCUGGUGACUUUUGAGAAGGUGGCUGUGUAUUUCACCAAGGAAGAGUGGGCUCUGCUGGACCCCCGUCAAAGAGCCCUCUGCAGAGACGUGAUGCAGGAGAAUGAUGGGAAUGUGACUUCGCUGGCAGGUGAUGCAAUGGUAUGUGAGAAAGAGGAGCAGAAUUCUCAGAAGGAAAACAUUGAGCAAGUGGAUAAACACAGAGCAUCAUUGCAUAGAUCAAAAAGGAAUGUGUCCAGGAGUCAUGAGCAGGGAAACUCCUGUGAGAUUCAGCACAGACCAGAAAGAGAGCAGGGAAACCAUCCAGGGGAGAAAAUGGGUAAAUGUAUUUCCUGCCUGGGAACUCAGAAGGACCAGAAGGAAACCACAACACAGUAGGAAAUCCUCAGGGAAAAGAGAAAAAAUGCGUGCACUGAGCAUGGGAAAAAUUUAUGUGACUACUCAGUCCUUAUAAAGCAUCAGAGAAUCCACACAGGACAGAGGCCCUAUGAAUGCCGUGAGUGUGGGAAAUGCUUCACUAAGAACUCAGCACUUUCUGAACAUCAGAGAAUCCACACAGGGGCGAGGCCCUAUGAAUGCAGUGAGUGUGGAAAAAACUUCACUCUCUGAUCAGCCCUUUUUCACCAUCAGAAAAUCCACACAGGGGAGAGGCCCUAUGAAUGCAGUGAGAGUGGGAAAAGGUUCACUCAAAAAUCAGCUCUUUUUCACCAUCAGAGAAUCCACACAGGUGAGAGGCCCUAUGAAUGCAGUGAGUGUGGGAAAAGCUUCAAUUGCAGCUCGAACCUUAUUAGGCAUCAGGGAAUCGACACAGGGAGAGGACCUAUGAAUACCGUGAGUGUGGGAAAUGCUUCACUAAGAGCUCAGCCCUUUCUGAACAUCAGAGAAUCCACACAGGGGAGAGGCCCUAUGAAUGCAGUGAGUGUGGGAAAACCUUCGCUAGCAGUUCAAUCCUUUCUGAACAUUAGAGAAACGACACAGGUGAGAGGCUCUAUGCAUGCUGCAAGUGUGGAAAUACCUUCUCUUGGCACUCAGCCCAUGUUAGCCAUCAGAGAUGAACACCAUAAAAACCUCUAGGGCUAUCCAUCCUUUUUCUUCCUUAAUACUUUUCCUGAUUCCCACAUAGUAACUUUUAAAGCUCUUUGAACUGUUUGCAGCACCGUUAUCCCUCAGCUUGUCCGAUGAGGGGCCCAUUUUUGCCUUUUGACAUUCACUGUGUUUUGAAGUUGACCUAUUUGUUCUUUCUAUCAACUCCAUUGUCCCAUGACUAUUUCAAGUGUGCCUUUCCUAUCCAGAACCAGGGAGCAUCACAGGUAUACCAUUCUUCCUAUUGCAAAGUUAUUGUUAGAGUCACCAGUGAUACAGUUUGUAUCAUUGCCAGUUGUUCUCAUGUUGCACUGGGUUUUGCUGAAGAGCAGUUAUAUUGGGAACUUUUCAAAUUAUAUUUAAAUGAAGAGGAGCAGGGGCAGGGGAAAAAGUGUCAUUUCAGCCUCUGUGACACUGGAUGGAGAUGGGGAGACUCAGAGAUUCCCUCCUUCCCCAUCACUGCAGAACUGUUACCUUUUGUCUGAGCCAUGCAGAGUUUAUCUUCGUCACAUUCUACCCCUCCACUUCUCAAAGUGUCAUGUGAGGAAGAGUUCUCAGCUGUCUGUGCUUGGAGAUGAUGCUUUGACUUCUUUAAUCCUAUAUCAGAGUCGCUAUGACUAGAGAUGAAAGUGUCAAAGACCUGGAAGGGGAAUUCAAAUGGAUCCCAAACACAGUGUGAUCAUUGGGAGUUUAAAUCCAA